GGUAGGGUAGCAAUACCUGAGACCGGCGCACGGGUGCGUAACGCAUAUGCAAUCUACCUUUUACAGAGGGAUAGCCCAGAGAAAUUUGGAUUAAUACCUCAUAGUAUGUAUGAGUGGCAUCACUUAUAUAUUAAAGUCACAACGGUAAAAGAUGAGCAUGCGUCCCAUUAGCUAGUUGGUAAGGUAACGGCUUACCAAGGCGACGAUGGGUAGGGGUCCUGAGAGGGAGAUCCCCCACACUGGCACUGAGACACGGACCAGACUCCUACGGGAGGCAGCAGUGAGGAAUAUUGGACAAUGGGCGCAAGCCUGAUCCAGCCAUGCCGCGUGCAGGAAGACGGUCCUAUGGAUUGUAAACUGCUUUUGUACGGGAAGAAACAGCAGUUCGUGAACUGCCUUGACGGUACCGUAAGAAUAAGGAUCGGCUAACUCCGUGCCAGCAGCCGCGGUAAUACGGAGGAUCCAAGCGUUAUCCGGAAUCAUUGGGUUUAAAGGGUCCGUAGGCGGUUUGGUAAGUCAGUGGUGAAAGCCCAUCGCUCAACGGUGGAACGGCCAUUGAUACUGCCAGACUUGAAUUAUUAGGAAGUAACCAGAAUAUGUAGUGU
rnacentral:rRNA from 1 species